GGGACAUUAGCUCAGUUGGUGGAAGCAUCGCACUGUUAAUGCGAGGGUCCUUGGUUCAAGUCCAAGAUGUCCCGCCA
rnacentral:tRNA from 1 species